GGCGGAAGAAUUAUGAAAGCUCCGAUGGUGGCAAAGAAAACUGAAUCAUUCCUUUGAGAUACUUGAUUUAGGUAAGCUUGUCUUCUAAUGUUUCUCUUCUGUGAAACAGUUAAGAACUUGGCACUAACUUUCUUCAAGUUUUUUUUACCCAAUGGAAUGCUGAAAUCAUUAUCUCCUUCUCCAACCAAUUGAGCCAGCUGCUCACGAAUUGUAAGUUUACCAGAACCACCAUCACUCUCAUAACCUGAUCAGUGAAGCAAGUAAAUUCUGACUAUUGCUGAUCUAAAAUGAAUGGAACAGAUUUGUAGAGAUAAAAUUCACAUACCAUCAGCGGAUGGGGUGGCAGAGGUGAGUUGUUCCAGGAGAUCGAGCUGUGUGCGUGUGGAAGACAGAGAC
rnacentral:lncRNA from 1 species